rnacentral:rRNA from 1 species
CUUCGGAGCCUUUCGCUAUUAGAUGAGCCUAGGUCGGAUUAGUUAGUUGGUGAGGUAAUGGCUCACCAAGACCGCGAUCCGUAACUGGUCUGAGAGGAUGAUCAGUCACACUGGAACUGAGACACGGUCCAGACUCCUACGGGAGGCAGCAGUGGGGAAUAUUGGACAAUGGGGGCAACCCUGAUCCAGCCAUGCCGCGUGAGUGAUGAAGGCCCUAGGGUUGUAAAGCUCUUUUGUGCGGGAAGAUAAUGACGGUACCGCAAGAAUAAGCCCCGGCUAACUUCGUGCCAGCAGCCGCGGUAAUACGAAGGGGGCUAGCGUUGCUCGGAAUCACUGGGCGUAAAGGGUGCGUAGGCGGGUCUUUAAGUCAGGGGUGAAAUCCUGGAGCUCAACUCCAGAACUGCCUUUGAUACUGAAGAUCUUGAGUUCGGGAGAGGUGAGUGGAACUGCGAGUGUAGAGGUGAAAUUCGUAGAUAUUCGCAAGAACACCAGUGGCGAAGGCGGCUCACUGGCCCGAUACUGACGCUGAGGCACGAAAGCGUGGGGAGCAAACAGGAUUAGAUACCCUGGUAGUCCACGCCGUAAACGAUGUCAACUAGUUGUUGGGUUCCUUGAGGACUUAGUAACGCAGCUAACGCAUUAAGUUGACCGCCUGGGGAGUACGGCCGCAAGGUUAAAACUCAAAUGAAUUGACGGGGGCCCGCACAAGCGGUGGAGCAUGUGGUUUAAUUCGAUGCAACGCGAAGAACCUUACCUGGUCUUGACAUCCACGGAAGUUUUCAGAGAUGAGAAUGUGCCUUCGGGAACCGUGAGACAGGUGCUGCAUGGCUGUCGUCAGCUCGUGUUGUGAAAUGUUGGGUUAAGUCCCGCAACGAGCGCAACCCUCGU